AAGCCAUUAUGUGGGCAAUCUCUUACCAGCCUCUUUGAACUCGCCCAAGCGUUACUAAGCGAUUCGUCAAUAUCCUGUUCAAAAUUAGUGAUCAACUUCCUGCACAU